rnacentral:rRNA from 1 species
UAGGGAAUUGUUCGCAAUGGGCGCAAGCCUGACGACGCAACGCCGCGUGGAGGAUGAAGAUCUUCGGGUCGUAAACUCCUUUCGACCGAGAUGAACAUCCCGCGAUCGAAUAAGUCGCGGGACUGACAGUAUCGAGGGAAGAAGCCCCGGCUAACUCCGUGCCAGCAGCCGCGGUAAUACGGGGGGGGCAAGCGUUGUUCGGAAUUAUUGGGCGUAAAGGGUUCGUAGGUGGCCGGCUAAGUCAGACGUGAAAUCCCUCAGCUUAACUGGGGAACUGCGUCUGAGACUGGUCGGCUUGAGUGCAGGAGAGGAACGCGGAAUUCCAGGUGUAGCGGUGAAAUGCGUAGAUAUCUGGAGGAACACCGGUGGCGAAGGCGGCGUUCUGGACUGCAACUGACACUGAGGAACGAAAGCCAGGGGAGCAAACGGGAUUAGAUACCCCGGUAGUCCUGGCCCUAAACGAUGAAUGCUUGGUGUGGCGGGUAUCGAUCCCUGCCGUGCCGAAGUU